GACGAACGCUGGCGGCGUGCCUAAUACAUGCAAGUCGAACGCUUCUUUCCUCCCGAGUGCUUGCACUCAAUUGGAAAGAGGAGUGGCGGACGGGUGAGUAACACGUGGGUAACCUACCCAUCAGAGGGGGAUAACACUUGGAAACAGGUGCUAAUACCGCAUAACAGUUUAUGCCGCAUGGCAUAAGAGUGAAAGGCGCUUUCGGGUGUCGCUGAUGGAUGGACCCGCGGUGCAUUAGCUAGUUGGUGAGGUAACGGCUCACCAAGGCCACGAUGCAUAGCCGACCUGAGAGGGUGAUCGGCCACACUGGGACUGAGACACGGCCCAGACUCCUACGGGAGGCAGCAGUAGGGAAUCUUCGGCAAUGGACGAAAGUCUGACCGAGCAACGCCGCGUGAGUGAAGAAGGUUUUCGGAUCGUAAAACUCUGUUGUUAGAGAAGAACAAGGACGUUAGUAACU
rnacentral:rRNA from 1 species